GCGAAAGUGGCGGAAUUGGUAGACGCACUGGAUUUAGGUUCCAGCGCCGAGAGGCGUGAGAGUUCGAGUCUCUCCUUUCGCACCA
rnacentral:tRNA from 1 species